rnacentral:lncRNA from 1 species
CCAGAUUGUCUGCCUUCAGCGGUCCUUUGUAGAGCGUCAAUAUUUGUGAUGUCACAUACGGGACACGGCUGGCUAGCUAUGGACUGCUACACAGCACUAAGCUGUUUGUCCAGUGUGUGACGUCACUAUUCAGAGCUCGCUACGCUUGUGUGUUUGGCUUACAUUCAGGGGCGUUUGGGGGUCUAAGAAGGGUCUUGAAAAAUUGCAUUUUACGCCUUUCCAUAUCUAUAUGAUUUCUCAGCAAAUUAUUCGUGUUUUUCAAGAGAAAAUCUUUCCAUCCAUAUGUAAUUUGUUAUAAUUAUGAGUUUAACAGUCUUGUCUCAGGUAAUCACGGAAUAGCCCCCCCCCCCAAAAAAAAAAAAAAAAUAAAUAAAUAAAUAAAAUAAAUAAAUAAAUAAAUAAAUUUAAAAAAAAAAAAAUAAAUAUGGGAAAGAGUACCUAUGGCUUGUUUUGUUUUCAUGUUAGCCAUGUUGUUGUCAUCAUCUUCUGGAAAAGUUUGAUAGAAUCUAGACCUAUGUACAGGUCUCAGACUGGUAUGAGUGGUACAUCUCAAAUGUCCAUACUCUGAAAGUAUGUACAAGUCUCAGACUGGUAUGAGUGUUACAUCUCAAAUGUCCAUACUCUGAAAGUAUGUACAGGUCUCAGACUGGUAUGAGUGGUACAUCUCAAAUGUCCAUACUCUGAAAGUAUGUACAAGUCUCAGACUGGUAUGAGUGGUACAUCUCAAAUGUCCAUACUCUGAAAGUAUGUAGAGGUCUCAGACUGGUAUGAGUGGUACAUCUCAAAUGUCCAUACUCUGAAAGUAUGUACAGGUCUCAGACUGGUAUGAGUGGUACAUCUCAAAUGUCCAUACUCUGAAAGUAUGUACAGGUCUCAGACUGGUAUGAGUGGUACAUCUCAAAUGUCCAUACUCUGAAAGUAUGUACAGGUCUCAGACUGGUAUGAGUGGUACAUCUCAAAUGUCCAUACUCUGAAAGUAUGUACAGGUCUCAGACUGGAAUGAGUGGUACAUCUCAAAUGUCCAUACUCUGAAAGUAUGUACAGGUCUCAGACUGGUAUGAGUGGUACAUCUCAAAUGUCCAUACUCUGAAAGUAUGUACAGGUCUCAGACUGGUAUGAGUGGUACAUCUCAAAUGUCCAUACUCUGAAAGUAUGUACAGGUCUCAGACUGGUAUGAGUGGUACAUCUCAAAUGUCCAUACUCUGAAAGUAUGUACAGGUCUCAGACUGGAAUGAGUGGUACAUCUCAAAUGUCCAUACUCUGAAAGUAUGUACAGGUCUCAGACUGGUAUGAGUGGUACAUCUCAAAUGUCCAUACUCUGAAAGUAUGUACAGGUCUCAGACUGGUAUGAGUGGUACAUCCCAAAUGUCCAUACUCUGAAAGUAAGUACAAGUCUCAGACUGGUAUGAGUGGUACAUCUCAAAUGUACAUACUCUGAAAGUAUGUACAGGUCUCAGACUGGUAUGAGUGGUACAUCUCAAAUGUCCAUACUCUGAAAGUAUGUACAGGUCUCAGACUGGUAUGAGUGGUACAUCUCAAAUGUCCAUACUCUGAAAGUAUGUAGAGGUCUCAGACUGGUAUGAGUGGUACAUCUCAAAUGUCCAUACUGUAGAGUGUAAUUGAAACAAACUUUCCUUUUUUUUAUAGAGCAAGAAGGGUGUACUGUAUACCUUAUAAUAUGUUUGUUAAUGUAAAUCAAAUUGAGUGGGGUAGAUGGUCUUCUGGCUCUUAGCACACAUUUUUUCUGAAAUGCAUCAAUCUUCAAAAUAUUAAUCUCAAAAUAAUUUGCCAUUGGUUUUGCAAACUGUGGUAAAUCGUGGUCUGCAAAACCAGUGACAAAGUUUGGGGCAUUUGUUGCAUAGCCAGUGGGGCUUCUGGUGUCCCUCAGGCACCCCUCCCCCUUCUCACUAAAAAGAAUGAAAAAACACAAACACAAAUAGAAUAUGAUUCUUUAAUUAUUAGUAACACUUGAUAAGCUCUGUCAAAAUGCACAAUUUUAAUACGUCUAAAUGCAAUUUUUCACUCCCUCGCAAAAUACACGUUGUAAGUGUGAAAAAAUGAUGAUCC